UGUAUGCAUGAGGUGUUAUUGUCGACAAUGAAACAUUGGGAUCAUGUUAUUCAGUAACAAUUGUGUAUUUCAAGUUGUGUAUGUAACCUCCCUGAAAAUCUCAAUAUAAGAUGCACAGCGCUCACGGUGGGUUCUAAGCUGGCAGGAAAAUAGCGUGAGAACAUAAGGCAGAUGUGUGUAUAGAAAUGUACGAAAGCAGGCGACUGUGCAAUAGUAGUCUGGAUCAGACCCAAAGGGUCGGAGGUCGAAGGGCUCGAGCAAUAACCACCUGGCGUCGUGGGGGCCGUGGGUUAUCAGGGACUAGUCACACCCCUCGUUUUGGGGAGGAAACCGACAUGUGGACGAGAACGAGGACUUGUUACGUAGCCGCGGGGACAGGGCUUCGUUGGCCAGAAGGCCCCCCUCUCUUUCCAUCUACCCUUACGUGUACCGAAGGGCCUGGGUAUAUAAGGGCCCGCUCGGCUUCCAGUGGCACAGGACAUCACGGUCGACAGUGAGAAGAAGAGGCUUCCAGGCUUCUUCGACCGAUCGACCGUACUGGUCACGGUCGAGGAAGACCCGAAGAGGAGGCUGGAGGACGAAGAGGAAGUGAGCAGCCGCAGUCACCUAACGGCGAACGUCAUUAUUUUCUGUUGCAGAAAAUCCGGCCGGAGCUACGUCAACAAUUUCACGAUGGUCUCACUACUUGGACGGUCCAGGGCAACGAGGCAACAGCAAUCAAGAUCAAAGAAGAAAGGCAUCAGUUAGUCGAUAGGAUGGCACAGGAGGUUGAAAA